rnacentral:rRNA from 1 species
AGAGUUUGAUCCUGGCUCAGGACGAACGCUGGCGGCGUGCUUAACACAUGCAAGUCGAACGGUGAUGCAGGAGCUUGCUUCUGCGGAUCAGUGGCGAACGGGUGAGUAACACGUGAGCAAUCUGCCCUUGACUCUGGGAUAAGCGUUGGAAACGACGUCUAAUACCGGAUACGACCCUCGGAGGCAUCUCCUGGGGGGUGGAAAGAAUUUUGGUCAAGGAUGAGCUCGCGGCCUAUCAGCUUGUUGGUGAGGUAAUGGCUCACCAAGGCGACGACGGGUAGCCGGCCUGAGAGGGUGACCGGCCACACUGGGACUGAGACACGGCCCAGACUCCUACGGGAGGCAGCAGUGGGGAAUAUUGCACAAUGGGCGCAAGCCUGAUGCAGCAACGCCGCGUGAGGGACGACGGCCUUCGGGUUGUAAACCUCUUUUAGUAGGGAAGAAGCGAAAGUGACGGUACCUGCAGAAAAAGCACCGGCUAACUACGUGCCAGCAGCCGCGGUAAUACGUAGGGUGCAAGCGUUGUCCGGAAUUAUUGGGCGUAAAGAGCUCGUAGGCGGUUUGUCGCGUCUGCUGUGAAAACCCGAGGCUCAACCUCGGGCCUGCAGUGGGUACGGGCAGACUAGAGUGCGGUAGGGGAGAUUGGAAUUCCUGGUGUAGCGGUGGAAUGCGCAGAUAUCAGGAGGAACACCGAUGGCGAAGGCAGAUCUCUGGGCCGUAACUGACGCUGAGGAGCGAAAGCAUGGGGAGCGAACAGGAUUAGAUACCCUAGUAGUCC